CACGUAGGGGGCGAGCGUUGUCCGGAUUCAUUGGGCGUAAAGGGCGCGCAGGCGGCUCGGCAAGUCGGGUGUGAAAACUCGGGGCUCAACCCCGGGCGUGCAUCCGAUACUGCCGGGCUUGAGGCAGGUAGGGGAGAUCGGAAUUCCUGGUGUAGCGGUGAAAUGCGCAGAUAUCAGGAGGAACACCGGUGGCGAAGGCGGAUCUCUGGGCCUGUCCUGACGCUGAGGCGCGAAAGCUAGGGGAGCGAACAGG
rnacentral:rRNA from 1 species